GGGGACGGCGCGGGGGGGGCGGAGGCGACAGCGGGGACAGGAUGGGACAGAGGGCCGUGGAGCCGCUGCUGCUGCUGCUGCUGCUCUCAGCCGCCGCCGUGUCGCAGCCGCCGCCGUGUCCCCCGGGCCAGGCGGCCUCGGGGGGUGGCUCUGGCGGCCGCUGCGUCCCGGUGUCGCCGGAGGGGGAC